CAUGCCGCGUGCAGGAAGACGGCCCUAUGGGUUGUAAACUGCUUUUAUACAGGAAGGAACACUCCCUCGUGAGGGAGCUUGACGGUACUGUAGGAAUAAGGAUCGGCUAACUCCGUGCCAGCAGCCGCGGUAAUACGGAGGAUCCAAGCGUUAUCCGGAAUCAUUGGGUUUAAAGGGUCCGUAGGCGGGACAAUAAGUCAGCGGUGAAAGUCUGUGGCUCAACCAUAGAAUUGCCAUUGAUACUGUUGUUCUUGAGUGUUUAUGAAGUGGUUAGAAUAUGUAGUGUAGCGGUGAAAUGCUUAGAUAUUACAUGGAAUACCGAUUGCGAAGGCAGAUCACUAAUAAAAUACUGACGCUGAUGGACGAAAGCGUAGGUAGCGAACAGGAUUAGAUACCCUGGUAGUCUACGCCGUAAACGAUGGUUACUAGCUGUUCGGAAGCAAUUCUGAGUGGCUAAGCGAAAGUGAUAAGUAACCCACCUGGGGAGUACGUUCGCAAGAAUGAAACUCAAAGGAAUUGACGGGGGGCCCGC
rnacentral:rRNA from 1 species